UCAAUACAAGGUAAACAGCUGGAGUGAUGACAUUAAACCUUAAAUCGGUUAUCGAAACGGAAGCAUCACGCACAAACGCAAUCUGGGGAAUUUAACGAGGCCCUUUGUAACAAAACUAGACGGAUAUAUGGUUGCCAUAAUCAGCCAUUGACUUCAAAGUUGUGCACAGGGAACGUAUGUAGGUUAAUCGGUACGAUAGGUAUAGCAAAACAAACCUGUAAUUUCAUACAAUGUGCAUUUCUUCUUUGUAUAGGGCUGUUCGACAUCUUUUUUAAGAUUUGUUGAAAUCGUGAAACGCAGCAACUCAUGUAUUUUUUCGUCUGCUACGAGUGACUUGUGUAGUUCUGCGAAAUAUUUAUUUUUUAAAAAAACAGUGAUAGAAAAGGGGGUUAAGACCUCUUUUGAACUCAGAUACUUCAAUAUCAACAAUGAGGAAAAGGAUGAUGAUGAUGACAAGGAAUAAGUUCGUCUCCCCGUUGUUUCGUUUUUGCUGUAAAGUAAUAAACGAUGACCAUUAUAUUUGUACAAUUGUUACUGCAUUAAACUUGACACCAUUCCUUGACGCAUA
rnacentral:lncRNA from 1 species